rnacentral:rRNA from 1 species
GCUAAUCAAACUUGGAGAUAGCUCGUACUCCCCGAAAUGCAUUUAGGUGCAGCCUGUGGAGUUUCUUACGUGAGGUAGAGCGACUGAUUGGAUGCGAGGCUUUCACCGGCUAUCAAGUCCAGACAAACUCCGAAUGCACGUUAAGUAAGAUCCACGGAGUGAGGGCAUGGGUGCUAAGGUCCAUGUCCGAGAGGAGAAGAAUCCAGACCAUCGGCUAAGGUCCCGAAAUAAUAGCUAAGUUGACCAAACGAAGUCAGAGUGCGAAGACAGCUAGGAUGUUGGCUUGGAAGCAGCCAUUCAUUUAAAGAGUGCGUAACAGCUCACUAGUCGAGUGCUUUGGCGUGGAUAAUAAUCGGGCAUAAGCUAUUUACCGAAGCUGUGGGAUGUGUAAACAUCGGUAGGGGAGCAUUCUAGCGGCGCUGAAGGUGAGAGGACAACUCUUGCUGGAGCUUCUAGAAAAGCAAAUGUAGGUAUAAGUAACGAUAAAGGAGGUGAGAAACCUCCUCGCCGAAAGACUAAGGUUUCCUGAUCAACGCUAAUCGGAUCAGGGUUAGUCGGGGCCUAAGGGGAAGCCGAACGGCGUACCCGAUGGAAGAACCGGUUAAUAUUCCGGUACUAAUUAUGUGAGCGAUGUGGAGACGGAGAUGUGACGGUCCUGCCAACUGACGGAAUAGUUGGUUGAAGGGUGUAGGAGUUGAUCUGAGUAGGCAAAUCCGCUCGGAGAUCCGAACCUGACAGUACUCUGAGUGCUUGCACAAGGAGAUAUGGACAACUGUAACGGAGCUCCCAAGAAAAUCCGCUAAGCAUAUUGCAUGAUUACCCGUACCAUAAACCGACACAGGUGGUUGGGUUGAGUAUACUAAGGCGCUCGAGUGAUUCGCGGUUAAGGAACUAGGCAAAAUAGUCCUGUAACUUCGGAAUAAAGGACGCUCACAGUGAAGGCUGUGAGCCGCAGAGAAUAGGCCCAGGCGACUGUUUAACAAAAACACAUGGCUAUGCUAAAUCGAAAGAUACUGUAUAUAGCCUGACACCUGCCCGGUGCUGGAAGGUUAAGAGGAGAUGUCAUCGCAAGAGAAGCAUUGAAUUGAAGCCCCAGUAAACGGCGGCCGUAACUAUAACGGUCCUAAGGUAGCGAAAUUCCUUGUCGGGUAAGUUCCGACCUGCACGAAUGGUGUAACGAUCUGGGUACUGUCUCAACCGCGAGCUCGGUGAAAUUGUAGUAUCGGUGAAGAUGCCGAUUACCCGCAACGGGACGAAAAGACCCCGUGAACCUUUACUAUAGCUUUGCAUUGGAUUUGGGUAACAAAUGUGUAGGAUAGGCCGGAGACUGUGAAGCGGGCACGCCAGUGUUCGUGGAGUCGCUGUUGAAAUACGGCCCUUCGGCUGUCUGGUUCCUAACUCCCUUGAUGGGAGGACCGCGUUUGGUGGGUAGUUUGACUGGGGUGGUCGCCUCCAAAAGCGUAACGGAGGCUUC